rnacentral:rRNA from 1 species
GACGAACGCUGGCGGCGUGCUUAACACAUGCAAGUCGAACGGAAAGGCCCUGCUUUUGUGGGGUGCUCGAGUGGCGAACGGGUGAGUAACACGUGAGUAACCUGCCCUUGACUUUGGGAUAACUUCAGGAAACUGGGGCUAAUACCGGAUAGGAGCUCCUGCUGCAUGGUGGGGGUUGGAAAGUUUCGGCGGUUGGGGAUGGACUCGCGGCUUAUCAGCUUGUUGGUGGGGUAGUGGCUUACCAAGGCUUUGACGGGUAGCCGGCCUGAGAGGGUGACCGGAGGAAGUGGGAAUGAGGUGAGGCGGGGAGGAGGCAGGGAGGCGGCAGGGGGGGGGGGGGAAGAGUGGCGGGGGGGCGGAGGCCGCGAGGGGGGGUGGGGGAGGAUGGGCGUGGGGAAGUAAAAAGGAAGCGCCUGUGAAGAAGGGGGAGGGAGGGGAGUGAGUAAAGAAGAACAGGCGAAUUAGGUG